rnacentral:rRNA from 1 species
GAUGAACGCUGGCGGCGUGCCUAAUACAUGCAAGUCGAGCGAACAGACGAGGAGCCUGCUCCUUUGACGUUAGCGGCGGACGGGUGAGUAACACGUGGGUAACCUACCUAUAAGACUGGGAUAACUUCGGGAAACCGGAGCUAAUACCGGAUAAUAUUUCGAACCGCAUGGUUCGAUAGUGAAAGAUGGCUUUGCUAUCACUUAUAGAUGGACCUGCGCCGUAUUAGCUAGUUGGUAAGGUAACGGCUUACCAAGGCAACGAUACGUAGCCGACCUGAGAGGGUGAUCGGCCACACUGGAACUGAGACACGGUCCAGACUCCUACGGGAGGCAGCAGUAGGGAAUCUUCCGCAAUGGGCGAAAGCCUGACGGAGCAACGCCGCGUGAGUGAUGAAGGUCUUCGGAUCGUAAAACUCUGUUAUUAGGGAAGAACAAACGUGUAAGUAACUGUGCACGUCUUGACGGUACCUAAUCAGAAAGCCACGGCUAACUACGUG